UUAGAUGUCUUUUCAACGAAAGUACUGAAAAUAGUAAUUUGGCCUAUUGCAGCGAUGUGAACGUAUAGUUUGAACAACUUGGAUAUAGCCAUAUUCCAGAAGAUUGGCGAUUAUUUAUUGACGGUUCAACAAAACGCCUGAGAGUACAGCUUUUGCAUGAUGAUGGAUCGCUUCCUUCGGUACCAUUGGCUUACGCUACAAACAUCAAAGGAUCAUAUGAUAGUAUGUCUCUAAUACUAAAUUCUAUAUGAUACACUACACAUAAGUGGCUAAUUGUGACUGAAUGGCUUUGCAAGGUGGUAACACAAAAUAUUCUCACUAUUUUCGUGAAUGGGACAGUCGAGACUCUUGUUAACAUUACUUACAAAGAGACUGGAAAAAUAGCAUAGCAUUUGGAUUAGUCAAUCCAAAAGACAUCAUUUUACCUCCGUUGCACAUAAAAUUGGGUUUAAUAAAGCAGUUCGUGAAAGCACUUGAUAAAACUGGAGCAACAUUCAAAUAUCUUGAACAGGUGUUUCCACGAAUUAUGAGCGGAAAAUAAAAGAAGGAAAAACAUGUAUCCUUAUUGGUCCCAAAAUACGGAAGAUGGUAAAAGAUGACAAAUGCAAAAUACAAGUUAAAGUUGAAGAAAAAAAGGCAUGGAAUGGUUUUUUAUUUAGUGUACAAACAUUUUCUUGUUAACCAU
rnacentral:sRNA from 1 species